CCUGACGCAGCAACGCCGCGUGUGUGACGAAGGCCUUCGGGUCGUAAAGCACUGUCAGUCGGGAAGAAGACAUGCGUAUAAAUUACGCGUGUGUUGACGGUACCGGCGAAGGAAGCACCGGCCAACUCCGUGCCAGCAGCCGCGGUAAGACGGAGGGUGCAAGCGUUAUUCGGAAUUACUGGGCAUAAAGGGCGCGCAGGCGGCCUGUUAAGUCAGUUGUGAAAGCCCGGGGCUCAACCCCGGAAGUGCGACUGAAACUGGCAGGCUUGAGUCCCGAAGAGGGAAGUGGAGUUCCUGGUGUAGCGGUGAAAUGCGUAGAUAUCAGGAGGAACACCAGUGGCGAAGGCGACUUCCUGGACCAAUACUGACGCUGAGGCGCGAAGGCGUGGGGAGCAAACAGGAUUAGAUACCCUGGUAGUCCACGCAGUAAACGGUGAUCACUAGGUGUUGCGGGCUUUGAUGCUUGCAGUGCCGAAGCAAACGCAUUAAGUGAUCCGCCUGGGGAGUACGGCCGCAAGGUUAAAACUCAAAGGAAUUGACGG
rnacentral:rRNA from 1 species